CGCGUAGGCGGGAUGGUCCGUCCGCUGUGAAAGUGCUACCGCUCAACGGAGCAAUGUCAGCGGAUACCACCAUUCUUGAGUCCGGGAGAGGUGAGUGGAAUUGCUGGUGUAGCGGUGGAAUGUACAGAUAUCAGCAAGAACACCGGUGGCGAAGGCGGCUCACUGGCCCGGUUCUGACGCUGAAGCGCGAAAGCGUGGGGAGCAAACG
rnacentral:rRNA from 1 species